AACGUAGGACGCAAGCGUUAUCCGGAAUUACUGGGCGUAAAGAGCUCGUAGGUGGUUUGUCGCGUUGUUCGUGAAAACUCACAGCUCAACUGUGGGCGUGCGGGCGAUACGGGCAGACUUGAGUACUGCAGGGGAGACUGGAAUUCCUGGUGUAGCGGUGGAAUGCGCAGAUAUCAGGAGGAACACCGGUGGCGAAGGCGGGUCUCUGGGCAGUAACUGACGCUGAGGAGCGAAAGCGUGGGGAGCGAACAGG
rnacentral:rRNA from 1 species